UGUGAUGCCCUUAGAUGUUCUGGGCCGCACGCGCGCUACACUGAUACGUGCAACAAGUUCUAUCCUGGUCCGGAAGGGAUCGGGUAAUCUUGACAAUGCGUAUCGUGAUAGGGAUAGAUCUUUGGAAUUAUAGAUCUUGAACGAGGAAUUCCUAGUAAGCAUAAUUCAUCAACUUGUGCUGAUUACGUCCCUGCCCUUUGUACACACCGCA
rnacentral:rRNA from 1 species